GUGCCAGCCGCCGCGGUAAUACGAAGGGUGCAAGCGUUACUCGGAAUUACUGGGCGUAAAGCGUGCGUAGGUGGUGAGUUAAGUCUGUCGUGAAAGCCCCGGGCUCAACCUGGGAAUGGCGAUGGAUACUGGCUCGCUAGAGUGCGGUAGAGGAGAGUGGAAUUCCCGGUGUAGCAGUGAAAUGCGUAGAGAUCGGGAGGAACAUCAGUUGCGAAGGCGGCUCUCUGGACCAGCACUGACACUGAGGCACGAAAGCGUGGGGAGCAAACAGGAUUAGAAACCCCCGUAGUCC
rnacentral:rRNA from 1 species